UACGGGGGGGGCAAGCGUUGUUCGGAAUUACUGGGCGUAAAGGGCUCGUAGGUGGCCAACUAAGUCAGACGUGAAAUCCCUCGGCUUAACCGGGGAACUGCGUCUGAUACUGGAUGGCUUGAGUUCGGGAGAGGGAUGCGGAAUUCCAGGUGUAGCGGUGAAAUGCGUAGAUAUCUGGAGGAACACCGGUGGCGAAGGCGGCUUUCUAGGAUAUACCUGACACUGAGAAGCGACAGCUAGGGGAGCAAACAGG
rnacentral:rRNA from 1 species